rnacentral:rRNA from 1 species
AGGAGUCGUGCCUUCCCGGUGAGUUUUCUUAAACGGAUGCGGUAAAGCGUGCUAAGGUAGCUAAGUUAUGGCCUAGUUAAUUGUAGGCCCUGUGAAUGGUUUGACGAGUUUUCCUCUGUCUCUAGCUUGUUUUAGUGAACUUGAAUUGGAUGUGCAAAUGCUUCCUUGAGAAAGAAAGACGAGAAGACCCCGUGAAGUUAGAAAUCUAUGCGCAUGGAGCAGGUGCUUCCCGGUGCUUGUGGUUUUGGCUGGGGCAGCAAGGGGGCAAAAUUAGACCCCCUUAUUCUAAGUGCUGGUGAGCAAUGACCCAUAGUUUUAGAGGGUAUGAAUAGUAGAAGAAGUUACUCCGGGGAUAACAGCGUAAUCCGUCUUGACAGUUCUUAUAGAUGGGCGGGUUUGCGACCUCGAUGUUGGCUCUGGAUGUCCUGAAGCUGUAGGCGGUUUCAAGGGUUGGUUCGUUCGCCCAU